rnacentral:rRNA from 1 species
UACGUAGGGUGCAAGCGUUGUCCGGAAUUAUUGGGCGUAAAGAGCUCGUAGGCGGUCUGUCGCGUCUGCUGUGAAAACUCAGGGCUUAACCCUGAGCUUGCAGUGGGUACGGGCAGACUAGAGUGCGGUAGGGGAGACUGGAAUUCCUGGUGUAGCGGUGAAAUGCGCAGAUAUCAGGAGGAACACCGGUGGCGAAGGCGGGUCUCUGAGCAGUAACUGACGCUGAGGAGCGAAAGCGUGGGGAGCGAACAGG